GACGAACGCUGGCGGCGUGCUUAACACAUGCAAGUCGAACGGAAAGGCCCUGCUUUUGUGGGGUGCUCGAGUGGCGAACGGGUGAGUAACACGUGAGUAACCUGCCCUUGACUUUGGGAUAACUUCAGGAAACUGGGGCUAAUACCGGAUAGGAGCUCCUGCUGCAUGGUGGGGGUUGGAAAGUUUCGGCGGUUGGGGAUGGACUCGCGGCUUAUCAGCUUGUUGGUGGGGUAGUGGCUGACCAAGGCUUUGACGGGUAGCCGGCCUGAGAGGGUGACCGGCCACAUUGGGACUGAGAUACGGCCCAGACUCCUACGGGAGGCAGCAGUGGGGAAUAUUGCACAAUGGGCGGAAGCCUGAUGCAGCAACGCCGCGUGCGGGAUGACGGCCUUCGGGUUGUAAACCGCUUUCGCCUGUGCCGAAGCGUGAGUGACGGUAAUGGGUAAAGAAGCACCGGCUAACUACGUG
rnacentral:rRNA from 1 species